rnacentral:rRNA from 1 species
UCCUAAGAGAGGGGAGUAGGGAAUCUUCCACAAUGGACGAAAGUCUGAUGGAGCAACGCCGCGUGAGUGAAGAAGGGUUUCGGCUCGUAAAACUCUGUUGUUAAAGAAGAACAUAUCUGAGAGUAACUGUUCAGGUAUUGACGGUAUUUAACCAGAAAGCCACGGCUAACUACGUGCCAGCAGCCGCGGUAAUACGUAGGUGGCAAGCGUUGUCCGGAUUUAUUGGGCGUAAAGCGAGCGCAGGCGGUUUUUUAAGUCUGAUGUGAAAGCCUUCGGCUCAACCGAAGAAGUGCAUCGGAAACUGGGAAACUUGAGUGCAGAAGAGGACAGUGGAACUCCAUGUGUAGCGGUGAAAUGCGUAGAUAUAUGGAAGAACACCAGUGGCGAAGGCGGCUGUCUGGUCUGUAACUGACGCUGAGGCUCGAAAGUAUGGGUAGCAAACAGGAUUAGAUACCCUGGUAGUCCAUACCGUAAACGAUGAAUGCUAAGUGUUGGAGGGUUUCCGCCCUUCAGUGCUGCAGCUAACGCAUUAAGCAUCCGC